AGAGUUUGAUCAUGGCUCAGAUUGAACGCUGGCGGCAGGCCUAACACAUGCAAGUCGAGCGGUAGCACAGAGAGCUUGCUCUCGGGUGACGAGCGGCGGACGGGUGAGUAAUGUCUGGGAAACUGCCUGAUGGAGGGGGAUAACUACUGGAAACGGUAGCUAAUACCGCAUAAUGUCGCAAGACCAAAGUGGGGGACCUUCGGGCCUCAUGCCAUCAGAUGUGCCCAGAUGGGAUUAGCUAGUAGGUGGGGUAACGGCUCACCUAGGCGACGAUCCCUAGCUGGUCUGAGAGGAUGACCAGCCACACUGGAACUGAGACACGGUCCAGACUCCUACGGGAGGCAGCAGUGGGGAAUAUUGCACAAUGGGCGCAAGCCUGAUGCAGCCAUGCCGCGUGUGUGAAGAAGGCCUUCGGGUUGUAAAGCACUUUCAGCGGGGAGGAAGGCGUUAAGGUUAAUAACCUUGGCGAUUGACGUUACCCGCAGAAGAAGCACGGCUAACUCCGUGCCAGCAGCCGCGGUAAUACGGAGGGUGCAAGCGUUAAUCGGAAUUACUGGCGUAAAGCGCACGCAGGCGGUCUGUCAAGUCGGAUGUGAAAUCCCCGGGCUCAACCUGGAACUGCAUUCGAAACUGGCAGGCUAGAGUCUUGUAGAGGGGGGUAGAAUUCCAGGUGUAGCGGUGAAAUGCGUAGAGAUCUGGAGGAAUACCGGUGGCGAAGGCGGCCCCCUGGACAAAGACUGACGCUCAGGUGCGAAAGCGUGGGGAGCAAACAGGAUUAGAUACCCUGGUAGUCCACGCCGUAAACGAUGUCGAUUUGGAGGUUGUGCCCUUGAGGUGUGGCUUCCGGAGCUAACGCGUUAAAUCGACCGCCUGGGGAGUACGGCCGCAAGGUUAAAACUCAAAUGAAUUGACGGGGCCCGCACAAGCGGUGGAGCAUGUGGUUUAAUUCGAUGCAACGCGAAGAACCUUACCUGGUCUUGACAUCCACAGAACUUAGCAGAGAUGCUUUGGUGCCUUCGGGAACUGUGAGACAGGUGCUGCAUGGCUGUCGUCAGCUCGUGUUGUGAAAUGUUGGGUUAAGUCCCGCAACGAGCGCAACCCUUAUCCUUUGUUGCCAGCGGUCCGGCCGGGAACUCAAAGGAGACUGCCAGUGAUAAACUGGAGGAAGGUGGGGAUGACGUCAAGUCAUCAUGGCCCUUACGACCAGGGCUACACACGUGCUACAAUGGCAUAUACAAAGAGAAGCGACCUCGCGAGAGCAAGCGGACCUCAUAAAGUAUGUCGUAGUCCGGAUUGGAGUCUGCAACUCGACUCCAUGAAGUCGGAAUCGCUAGUAAUCGUAGAUCAGAAUGCUACGGUGAAUACGUUCCCGGGCCUUGUACACACCGCCCGUCACACCAUGGGAGUGGGUUGCAAAAGAAGUAGGUAGCUUAACCUUCGGGAGGGCGCUUACCACUUUGUGAUUCAUGACUGGGGUGAAGUCGUAACAAGGUAACCGUAGGGGAACCUGCGGUUGGAUCACCU
rnacentral:rRNA from 1 species